GGCGGAGCCGCGCUGGGGCGGCCCGGGAGCUCCCGGUGCCCGGCCCGAGCCCUCCCGGCCCCGGGGGAUCCCGGCUGGGCGCCGGGACACGGCAGCGCCGGGACAGGGCAGCGCCGGUCCCCGCCGCGGUCUCGCCGCUCGGGAUGGCCGCUGUGAAGAGUCCGGCCGGGCAGCAGAGAGGAGCGGGCAGCGCCGCUGAGUCCCGGCUGCUGCUUUAAAGCCCGGGCAAAGUGAACAGAGAGUGUUGCAGGCGGUUUAAUAAAAUAAAAGCGCCCGCUGGGUGCUACUGGAAAAGAGCUCAACUCCCUUCCUUAAAAAAAUCGUCAUGUUCGACUCUCGCCAGCUCCUGGCCAAAAGGGAGCGGAGGAAUUGUAAACCGGGAGAAGCAGCAGGAGCAAAACGUUUCAUUAAAAAGCAAAAGGAAUAAUGCGAAAGAGCGGUUAUGUUGAUCGACUCAUCUGUGCUGUGCCACGGAAGGCAGUUCUCUCUGCAGGGGAACCUGUCACCUGAGGAAGCUGAGGCAGCAAAAAUACUAGAAGGAACUGGUCUAAGAGAAUUGAUGGUAGAAUGGUGGUUGAUGGUGGAAAUUACUAUCCUGACUGGCUUACAGCAAAACGUCCUUGAUUUUUGGAUUCCAGAAGUCAAAGUGUUAUGCCUCAUAGUACCUAUUAUUCCAGUGGCUAGAACUAAGAUAGAAUGA
rnacentral:lncRNA from 1 species